AGCUUUGCUCAGUGGCAGUAUCGUAGCCAAUGAGAUUUAUCCAAGGCGCGAUUAUUGCUAAUUGAAAACUUUUCCCAUGUCCUUGCCAACACUUGCUUUUUUUAUUUUUUAAUA
ensembl:snRNA U4 U4 spliceosomal RNA